rnacentral:rRNA from 1 species
GAUGAACGCUGGCGGCGUGCCUAAUACAUGCAAGUCGAGCGAACGGACGAGAAGCUUGCUUCUCUGAUGUUAGCGGCGGACGGGUGAGUAACACGUGGAUAACCUACCUAUAAGACUGGGAUAACUUCGGGAAACCGGAGCUAAUACCGGAUAAUAUUUUGAACCGCAUGGUUCAAAAGUGAAAGACGGUCUUGCUGUCACUUAUAGAUGGAUCCGCGCUGCAUUAGCUAGUUGGUAAGGUAACGGCUUACCAAGGCAACGAUGCAUAGCCGACCUGAGAGGGUGAUCGGCCACACUGGAACUGAGACACGGUCCAGACUCCUACGGGAGGCAGCAGUAGGGAAUCUUCCGCAAUGGGCGAAAGCCUGACGGAGCAACGCCGCGUGAGUGAUGAAGGUCUUCGGAUCGUAAAACUCUGUUAUUAGGGAAGAACAAAUGUGUAAGUAACUAUGCACGUCUUGACGGUACCUAAUCAGAAAGCCACGGCCAACUACGUG